GUGGGGAAUCUUCCGCAAUGGACGAAAGUCUGACGGAGCAACGCCGCGUGAGUGAUGAAGGUCUUCGGAUUGUAAAGCUCUGUUAAUCGGGACGAAAGAGCCUAGUGUGAAUAAUGCUAGGAAGUGACGGUACCGGAAUAGAAAGCCACGGCUAACUACGUGCCAGCAGCCGCGGUAAUACGUAGGUGGCAAGCGUUGUCAGGAAUUAGUGGGCGUAAAGCGCGCGAAGGCGGAUCUGCCAGUCUGUCUUAAAAGUUCGGGGCUUAACCCCGUGAUGGGAUGGAAACUACAGAGCUAGAGUAUCGGAGAGGAAAGUGGAAUUCCUAGUGUAGCGGUGAAAUGCGUAGAUAUUAGGAAGAACACCAGUGGCGAAGGCGACUUUCUGGACGAAAACUGACGCUGAGGCGCGAAAGCCAGGGGAGCGAACGGGAUUAGAUACCCCUGUAGUCC
rnacentral:rRNA from 1 species